rnacentral:rRNA from 1 species
AGCGUACACGGUGGAUGCCCUGGCAGUCAGAGGCGAUGAAGGACGUGCUAAUCUGCGAUAAGCGCCGGUAAGGUGAUAUGAACCGUUAUAACCGGCGAUUUCCGAAUGGGGAAACCCAGUGUGAUUCGUCACACUAUCAUUAACUGAAUCCAUAGGUUAAUGAGGCGAACCGGGGGAACUGAAACAUCUAAGUACCCCGAGGAAAAGAAAUCAACCGAGAUUCCCCCAGUAGCGGCGAGCGAACGGGGAGGAGCCCAGAGCCUGAAUCAGCAUGUGUGUUAGUGGAAGCGUCUGGAAAGGUGCGCGAUACAGGGUGACAGCCCCGUACACAAAAGCGCAUGUGCUGUGAGCUCGAUGAGUAGGGCGGGACACGUGGUAUCCUGUCUGAAUAUGGGGGGACCAUCCUCCAAGGCUAAAUACUCCUGACUGACCGAUAGUGAACCAGUACCGUGAGGGAAAGGCGAAAAGAACCCCGGCGAGGGGAGUGAAAAAGAACCUGAAACCGUGUACGUACAAGCAGUGGGAGCACCCUUCGGGGUGUGACUGCGUACCUUUUGUAUAAUGGGUCAGCGACUUAUAUUCUGUAGCAAGGUUAACCGUAUAGGGGAGCCGGAGGGAAACCGAGUCUUAACCGGGCGUUAAGUUGCAGGGUAUAGACCCGAAACCCGGUGAUCUAGCCAUGGGCAGGUUGAAGGUUGGGUAACACUAACUGGAGGACCGAACCGACUAAUGUUGAAAAAUUAGCGGAUGACCUGUGGCUGGGGGUGAAAGGCCAAUCAAACCGGGAGAUAGCUGGUUCUCCCCGAAAGCUAUUUAGGUAGCGCCUCGUGAAUUCAUCUCCGGGGGUAGAGCACUGUUUCGGCUAGGGGGCCAUCCCGGCUUACCAACCCGAUGCAAACUGCGAAUACCGGAGAAUGUUAUCACGGGAGACACACGGCGGGUGCUAACGUCCGUCGUGAAGAGGGAAACAACCCAGACCGCCAGCUAAGGUCCCAAAGUCAUGGUUAAGUGGGAAACGAUGUGGGAAGGCCCAGACAGCCAGGAUGUUGGCUUAGAAGCAGCCAUCAUUUAAAGAAAGCGUAAUAGCUCACUGGUCGAGUCGGCCUGCGCGGAAGAUGUAACGGGGCUAAACCAUGCACCGAAGCUGCGGCAGCGAACGUAUCACUUAAAGCGAUUCAGCGGGUUACGAUUGACGGAGCGAAGCGACGUCAAAGCGUAUACAAAGUCGAGUCGGUUUAAGGAUACGUUCGUUGGGUAGGGGAGCGUUCUGUAAGCCCGUGAAGGUGGCCUGUGAGGGUUGCUGGAGGUAUCAGAAGUGCGAAUGCUGACAUAAGUAACGAUAAAGCGGGUGAAAAGCCCGCUCGCCGGAAGACCAAGGGUUCCUGUCCAACGUUAAUCGGGGCAGGGUGAGUCGACCCCUAAGGCGAGGCCGAAAGGCGUAGUCGAUGGGAAACGGGUUAAUAUUCCCGUACUUGGUGUUACUGCGAAGGGGGGACGGAGAAGGCUAUGUUGGCCGGGCGACGGUUGUCCCGGUUUAAGCGUGUAGGUGUGUGUUCCAGGUAAAUCCGGUUCACUUUAACACUGAGGCGUGAUGACGAGGCACUACGGUGCUGAAGCAACAAAUGCCCUGCUUCCAGGAAAAGCCUCUAAGCAUCAGGUAACAUCAAAUCGUACCCCAAACCGACACAGGUGGUCAGGUAGAGAAUACCAAGGCGCUUGAGAGAACUCGGGUGAAGGAACUAGGCAAAAUGGUGCCGUAACUUCGGGAGAAGGCACGCUGACACGUAGGUGAAGUGAUUUACUCACGGAGCUGAAGUCAGUCGAAGAUACCAGCUGGCUGCAACUGUUUAUUAAAAACACAGCACUGUGCAAACACGAAAGUGGACGUAUACGGUGUGACGCCUGCCCGGUGCCGGAAGGUUAAUUGAUGGGGUCAGCGCAAGCGAAGCUCCUGAUCGAAGCCCCGGUAAACGGCGGCCGUAACUAUAACGGUCCUAAGGUAGCGAAAUUCCUUGUCGGGUAAGUUCCGACCUGCACGAAUGGCGUAAUGAUGGCCAGGCUGUCUCCACCCGAGACUCAGUGAAAUUGAACUCGCUGUGAAGAUGCAGUGUACCCGCGGCAAGACGGAAAGACCCCGUGAACCUUUACUAUAGCUUGACACUGAACAUUGAGCCUUGAUGUGUAGGAUAGGUGGGAGGCUUUGAAGUGUGGACGCCAGUCUGCAUGGAGCCGACCUUGAAAUACCACCCUUUAAUGUUUGAUGUUCUAACGUGGACCCGUAAUCCGGGUUGCGGACAGUGUCUGGUGGGUAGUUUGACUGGGGCGGUCUCCUCCUAAAGAGUAACGGAGGAGCACGAAGGUUGGCUAAUCCUGGUCGGACAUCAGGAGGUUAGUGCAAUGGCAUAAGCCAGCUUGACUGCGAGCGUGACGGCGCGAGCAGGUGCGAAAGCAGGUCAUAGUGAUCCGGUGGUUCUGAAUGGAAGGGCCAUCGCUCAACGGAUAAAAGGUACUCCGGGGAUAACAGGCUGAUACCGCCCAAGAGUUCAUAUCGACGGCGGUGUUUGGCACCUCGAUGUCGGCUCAUCACAUCCUGGGGCUGAAGUAGGUCCCAAGGGUAUGGCUGUUCGCCAUUUAAAGUGGUACGCGAGCUGGGUUUAGAACGUCGUGAGACAGUUCGGUCCCUAUCUGCCGUGGGCGCUGGAGAACUGAGGGGGGCUGCUCCUAGUACGAGAGGACCGGAGUGGACGCAUCACUGGUGUUCGGGUUGUCAUGCCAAUGGCACUGCCCGGUAGCUAAAUGCGGAAGAGAUAAGUGCUGAAAGCAUCUAAGCACGAAACUUGCCCCGAGAUGAGUUCU